UACGGGGGGGGCAAGCGUUGUUCGGAAUUACUGGGCGUAAAGGGCUCGUAGGCGGCCAACUAAGUCAGACGUGAAAUCCCUCGGCUUAACCGGGGAACUGCGUCUGAUACUGGAUGGCUUGAGUUUGGGAGAGGGAUGCGGAAUUCCAGGUGUAGCGGUGAAAUGCGUAGAUAUGCCAUAGAACACCAAUUGCGAAGGCAGCUGGCUAGACCUGGAUUGACGCUGAGGCACGAAAGCGUGGGGAGCGAACAGG
rnacentral:rRNA from 1 species